rnacentral:lncRNA from 1 species
CUGCAUCUCGAGAAUCAGCAGAACAGCCAACUGGGGCAUUUAUCAAAAAAAAGAAGAAAGAGAAAAAAAGAAAAAGAGAAAGAGGAGGGUGCAAAAUCAAAAAAAAAAAAAUCAAUCAAAAUCAAAAAAUCAAAAGAAAUCAAAAGAAAGAAAAAGAAAGAAAGAAAACAAAAGAGAAAAUAGCACCCUCAAAGUCCCAAGUUGACUGAUGCUGAAUGGAUUCAGAGUCACUAUGACCAGGUGAAUCCAAUCGAAAAGAAGAGAUCAACUGCCAUGUGUCAUGGUCAGUCAUAUCAGCAGAGAG